rnacentral:lncRNA from 1 species
UUUUAUGGAAAUUAUGUGAAUCAUCGAUAAUGUGAAUUGUGUUGAGAACUCAUAAUCUGCACCUUGAUGUUAGUGCUCAUAUUAUUCACCGCACCGCACGCUCACCUUGGAUCCAAGUAGGUGCAUGUCGUACAGACCAUGUGAGGGUUCCGACAUGCUAGUCGUACAGACCACUGAGGUGGUUCCGACUAGUAGGUGACUUUCGAUUAUAUGCGCAGAUCAUUGAUGAGAGGAGCACUAGAGCGUAUUAUUUUAC